rnacentral:rRNA from 1 species
UACGAAGGGUGCAAGCGUUUAUUCGGAUUUAUUGGGCGUAAAGGGUUCGUAGGCGGGAUUAUAAGUCAAGUGUGAAAUCCCCAAGCUUAACUUGGGACGUGCAUUUGAAACUGUGAUUCUUGAGUCAUUGAGAGGGUGGUGGAAUUGUUGGUGUAGGAGUGACAUCCGUAGAGAUCAACAGGAACAUCAGAGGCGAAAAGCGGCCACCUGGCAAUGU